rnacentral:lncRNA from 1 species
CCGUGAUCACAGCUGAGCCGAUGGGUCUUCUCUCUCUACUUCUGCGGGAUCGUGGGUGAUCAUCUCCUGUGCUCAGAUACUUGGUCUCGGCUGUGGUGUUCGGCAGAAAUCAGUGAUUUUUCAACACAUUGGAAGGUGCCCACAACUGGUACUAGUGUGUUUUUUGUCACUUCCAAACACCUGUGGUCAGUCCUUUGCUUUUCCAGACAAGAGUGAGCUUAGGAAUGCUUCAUUUCAUUCUAGGUCAGGCUGCCUGCAGAUACAGACCCUUUCCUCUGCUGCCUUGUCACCAGUUACGUGAAAUGCCGCCUAUGACAAGAGUUUAUUAUUACGGCACUCUAGUCAACAUCCAUGCGAACGUAUGCACCGGCCCCCACGCAGAAGAAGAUUGCAUUGAGCCAGUAGAGAGCAGAGAUUCCAUUGGUGACGGUGAGAAUCGUCCUGCACAGUGACCUCCUCUCUCUUGUCUCCCUCACACCAGCCAUGGCAGUUUUCAAAGAUCGGUGCAGGCGUGAUCGCGGAAGAAAUUAUGCUCACAAAGCAAGGUUUUCCUGUAACCACUGGACUGCCGGCCACCAGCUGGGCAAGGUGAGGCGUCUUCUGACCUUCUACAUGUGCACAAUGUCCUUCCCCUUCUCAGCGAGUCGUUGCACGCUGGCAGAGGCACGGCGCUGGGGUGGGGGAGGCACGGCAGUCAGUGUGCGCUGGGGAAGCUCGGGGUCUGGCCGUCACAGGCCUUCUGUAAACAAACGUGAGGGUUCCUGCUGACGACGCCUCCUCUCAGCCUCUAUGUGGUGCUUUCCGUGAGCUCACACCUCAUGGUUCUUGGACAUAUAGGACAGGGGUGGACAUUUGGAGCCGGGCUUUGCCAGAAAAUGUCUCACUUCUCAAGGCUUUCUCCCUCAGUCACCAGAAUCCCUAACAACUCUGCCUGAACCCUCUGAUCCCUGUCCUGGGCUCAUUCUAUCUCCAGAGACCUGCAUGGGCAGAGGGGACUCUGGGUGCGUGCUGGCUUGACGUUGUGGGCCAACUGACCGACUGACCGUGACAGGGUCCUGCCUCUCUGUUAGCAUCACGUUAAUACAGGGCCACCCUCAGACGCGUCCCCGCCCCUUUCCCGCGUCUUCCAGGAGGUCUCCCGGUUCGGUAAGUGCAAACCUGCACUGGGUGCUGGAGGCGGGGCAGGCCUCAGCCCAUCUUGCUACUUUCUCUUUCCUUCUCUUCCAUCUUUUCUCAUUUUGUUUAUUCUUCAGUCUGGCUCUCCUCCAUUUCCAUGGCAUCCCCCUCCUUUCAAAGAGUCCACAAGUCUUUAGGAGGCUUUAAGGCAGAGAGGUGGCUGAGAGACUGAGGACCAGACAGUCC